rnacentral:rRNA from 1 species
UACAGAGGUCUCAAGCGUUGUUCGGAUUCAUUGGGCGUAAAGGGUGCGUAGGUGGCGAGGCAAGUCAGAUGUGAAAUCCCGGGGCUCAACCCCGGAACUGCAUUUGAAACUGCCUUGGUCGAGUACUGGAGAGGAGACUGGAAUUUACGGUGUAGCAGUGAAAUGCGUAGAUAUCGUAAGGAAGACCAGUGGCGAAGGCGAGUCUCUGGACAGUGACUGACGCUGAGACGCGAAAGCGUGGGGAGCAAACAGG